CCCAGCCAGCUCUGGGUGUGCUGGAGACGGGGCGAAAGUUGGCAGGGUGAAUAAUUUCAGGGCAUACUCUCCUAUUUAAUCCUCUCAGGGCGUUCCAAAUAAUUGGAAUAAAUAGCCCAAGUUAAAUACCUGUCAGGUCCGAUUCGCCCCUCGGCUGUCUUUCUCUCCCCGCCCUCUUGGCACCCAACGUCUCCCCCCUCCUUCUCAGAAGGUUAAAAAGACGGUGCAGGCGAGGCAGGGGUUAACCGUUCAGGGUGGCUGCUCCUGGUCCGCUGUGAUUUUUCUGCCUCUGCACCCAAAGGGGCUUGCUGGGGUCUGGGAGGAAGUGCCAGGCGCAAGCAGUGGUUGGGAAAUGGCAGUGAGUCAUCACACCGCCCGUCGCUACUACCA
rnacentral:rRNA from 1 species